GACGAACGCUGGCGGCGUGCCUAAUACAUGCAAGUCGAACGCAGUGGGGACGGGUGAGUAACACGUGGGUAACCUCCCAUCAGAGGGGAUAACACUUGGAAACAGGUGCUAAACCGAUACUGAUGGAUGAACCCGCGGUGCAUUAGCUAGUUGGUGAGGUAACGGCUCACCAAGGCCACCAUGCAUAGUCGACCUGAGAGGGGGAUCGGCAAUACUGGGACUGAGACGCGGGCCAGACUACGACGGGAGGCAGCAGUGGGGAAUAUUGCACAAUGGGCGCAAGCCUGAUGCAGCCAUGCCGCGUGUAUGAAGAAGGCCUUGGGGUUGUAAAGUACUUUCAGCGGUGAGGCGUUACCCGCAGAAGAAGCACCGGCUAACUCCGUGCCAGCAGCCGCGGUAAUAC
rnacentral:rRNA from 1 species